GAUGAACGCUGGCGGCGUGCUUAACACAUGCAAGUCGAACGGAAAGGCUCCUGCUUGCAGGGGUACUCGAGUGGCGAACGGGUGAGUAACACGUGGGUGAUCUGCCCUGCACUUCGGGAUAAGCCUGGGAAACUGGGUCUAAUACCGGAUAGGACGAUGGUUUGGAUGCCAUUGUGGAAAGUUUUUUCGGUGUGGGAUGAGCUCGCGGCCUAUCAGCUUGUUGGUGGGGUAAUGGCCUACCAAGGCGUCGACGGGUAGCCGGCCUGAGAGGGUGUACGGCCACAUUGGGACUGAGAUACGGCCCAGGCUCCUACGGGAGGCAGCAGUGGGGAAUAUUGCACAAUGGGCGCAAGCCUGAUGCAGCGACGCCGCGUGGGGGAUGACGGCCUUCGGGUUGUAAACUCCUUUCGCUAGGGACGAAGCGCAAGUGACGGUACCUGGAGAAGAAGCACCGGCUAACUACGU
rnacentral:rRNA from 1 species